rnacentral:lncRNA from 1 species
UGGAAAUCCUGAGAAUCAGAUGGUGUCAUCAGCACAAUAAUGGGACACCCCAUUAUUACCAAAGAUGUCCAUGUCCUACUUCUCUGAACCUGUGACUAUAUUACCUUACAUGGCAAAAGGGACUUUACAAAUGUUACUAAGUUAAGGAUCAUGAUAUGAGAAUAUUAUCCAGGAUUAUCCUGAUAGGCUCAAUGUAAUCACAAGGACUGUGAAAGAGGGAACCAGGAGAGACAGAGUAAUUUGGAGAUGAUUUGCAGUUUGGCUUUAAAGAUGGAGAAAGAUGGAGAAAGAGAACAUGGCUUUAAAGAUGGAGAAAGAGGUCCUGAGAUAAGGAAUUCAGUUGGUCUCUAGAAGAUGGAAAAGGAAGCUAACUCUACAGCAGAAGCAGUGAGUCACAAGGACAAGAACCAAAUGAUAUGGACGACCCCAUCACAACAACUCAAGCUGGUGUAAACAUUCUCACAUGGCAUGAGAAUGAAACAUAAUGCAGUGCUCCCUCUCCCCAGACCUGGGUCAC